rnacentral:pre_miRNA from 1 species
AUGACUGAUUUCUUUUGGUGUUCAGAGUCAAUAAUAACUUCUAGCACCAUUUGAAAUCGGUUAU